UGGAGGUGUCUGUAAGGGAGCGAUCGCAGCUCUUGGUCUGGAUUCAAAGAUCUAUUAUGUCCUUCACCGCCAUUGUUUCCAUCGCGCUUUUACUUGUGGAUCGAAAAGCUACAGCUUCACAUUCAAAUCCCAUUCCGCUUGCUGGGGUAGUUGCCUAAGAAUGAGCUCUCACUGCCAAGUGGAGAUGGAGUUUGCUUCGAAAGGACCACAUUUAGUGCCCUGAUUUCGAGCCACGGCGUGGUUGAGUUGAGUUUAGUUGAAUUGCAGGGCGCGGAGAUCAUGACGCUUUUUCUCAUGGUGGUCGCCGCGACACCACAUUGUUGUUGCGAAGUCCUGGUGCACAGGGCGCUUUCGACCUGAUGGGGGAGGGGGUGUGUGGUUGGGCGUUGUUUAUCCAUUGAGGUCAUUUCUGCGAAUGGAAAGCGUGAUGGUUUCUGUGCGUCGAUCUCAACAGUGUUUGUUGGUUUCAAUCCCUCGGGUGGAGAUUGUGGAUUUUGGGUUCUACGCAAUUAGUCCGGGAUUCUGGUAGCUGUGAGUGUUGUUGCAGCGCAUGGAUGUGUAACCCCUGUUGGGAUUGCCGUCCAUCGAUGCCUGAAUUCGAUUUUGUCGGGAGUCGUGUUAGCUGCUGCUGAUCAACUGUAGGUGGUGGGUAUAUAUCUGGUCUUUUGAAUACCUGCAGUAUUAUUCGGAGCUCGAGGGUUGCGGGGUUCGAAUUUAUGAAGAAUCAGCUUAAUUAACGGGAGUGCGGGUAAAAUGUUUCCCAGCCUGAAACAGCUUGCAACAGUGGAGUGGAGCUGGAAGUGGUGCUGUGCUCGGAAGCUUCUCACAUAGAAUGUCGAGUGAAACAGACAACGGAGUUUCAUGAACGAAGGCUGAAUUUCGUUGUGAAUACAAGGAUUGAGUCUUAUUCAGUGAUAGUAACCGCCCGUGACUAGAUCUCCAUGUCAGGAUUUGGAAGGAACUGAGCGGUACAAAUGGAAUUGUCCUCGGACUCUGGAUCCGGGCAUUUUGAUACUGAACUGAUCAAAGUUUUGAGAGACAAGAAGUAGAAGUGCAAAGAGGACAAACAUAUUCGAUGUGUCGAUUUAGCAAAUGAGAAGCAUGAUUUUCAGUAUUGAGAAAUUUAUUCUCACAAUAGUAGGCAUCAGAUCAUAGGGGUAGAGCAUCCAAUAUCUUUUGAAGUGUCUGGCACCAAAACCGGAAACAGAAUCAAAGCCAUGUUUUCUGAAAUGACACAAACGACGUUUACCUAAUAAACAGUGUUCAAGCAA